rnacentral:rRNA from 1 species
CCUACGGGGGGCAGCAGUGGGGAAUAUUGCGCAAUGGGCGAAAGCCUGACGCAGCGACGCCGCGUGAGGGAUGAAGGUCUUCGGAACGUAAACCUCUGUCAGCAGGGAAGAACGGUCACUGUGCUAAUCAGCAGUGAAUUGACGGUAUCUGCAAAGGAAGCACCGGCUAACUCCGUGCCAGCAGCCGCGGUAAUACGGAGGGUGCGCACGUUAAUCGGAAUUACUGGGCGUAAAGCGCUCGUAGGCGGUAUGUCAAGUCAAGGGUGAAAUCCCCGCGCUCAACGUGGGAACUGCCUUUGAAACUGGCAAACUGGAGUGUGUGAGAGGAUAGUGGAAGUCCAGGUGUAGGAGUGAAAGCCGUAGAUAUCUGGAGGAACAUCAGUGGCGAAGGCGACUAUCUGGCACAUAACUGACGCUGAGGAGCGAAAGCGUGGGUAGCAAACAGGAUUAGAUACCCCGGUAGUC